CAUGGGGCAAAACUUAUACGAAAUCCAUCCUUUGCAAGGUUUUAAAGUCCAAUUAGGAAUAAUUGACGCUCAAAAAGUUGAUUGGCGAAUAAUUAGAUUUAUCUAUAUGUACAUUGUGUCGGCAAACUCUUGGUGGAGGUGAGACCAUUACUUUUAGCCAAUCAAAAGACAGGUACCUUUGUGGGUAAUUUACUUUAGAUGUCGGAAACUAAUUUUCUUUUCCGAGCCUCUUAAAACAUUUUCCCUCUUACCUAGCCGUCGAUUCUCUCCUCUUCCCAUUGACACUGUAGCAGUUCCCAUCCUGUUGCGGCGAUUCAUUGGAUCUAAGCCUUGAAUCGCCUCAUGGUAAUGGCAAGAUACCAAGAGUUUCUUAUGAGUUGUUGAAAUGCUGCUGCGGCGGAUGUUGUUCUUGGAUCAGUCGGCGGCGCUGUUCAAUUUCCAUUCGUUUCUGACGGUGGUGCUGCUGGUGAUCUCCACCUGCACCUACAUCAAGAUGCAGUUCCCUGCCAUCCUCGAGCAGAGGACCGGGACUAGGACCUCUCAGCAUGUAGCUAUGCCAUCCACUAGAAGCAAGCGGGGGUUAUGAUGAAUUAGGGCAACUGUUAUCUGCUAAAAUGACAACAUCUACCAGGUCCUACUAGUUAUGAUGUAUUACAAACAAGUGGGUUUAUUUGAUGCUGAAUGUGUCUCUCUUUCUAUGACACAACUUUCUUUUUUCAAGAAUUUAUGUCAGUCCAGUGUCCUGCCUACUAGAGGAUGGACCCUUCUUUGCUCUUUAUAGAUGAACUACUGUUGAAUCUUAUUAGCUUCAACAACAA